rnacentral:rRNA from 1 species
GAUGAACGCUAGCGGGAGGCUUAAUACAUGCAAGUCGAACGGUAACGAUGGAGCUUGCUCCAGGCGACGAGUGGCGCACGGGUGAGUAACGCGUACACAAUCUACCCAUUACAGGAGGAUAGCCUUGGGAAACUGAGAAUAAUACUCCAUAGUAUUUUCGAACCGCAUGGUUUGAUUAUUAAAGUUCCGGCGGUAAUGGAUGAGUGUGCGUACUAUUAGAUAGUUGGUGAGGUAACGGCUCACCAAGUCAGCGAUAGUUAGGGGGCGUGAGAGCGUGAUCCCCCACACGGGUACUGAGACACGGACCCGACUCCUACGGGAGGCAGCAGUAAGGAAUAUUGGACAAUGGGCGCAAGCCUGAUCCAGCCAUCCCGCGUGAAGGACGACGGCCCUAUGGGUUGUAAACUUCUUUUAUAGAGGACGAACCGUACCAUUUUAAUGGUGCCUGACGGUACUCUACGAAUAAGCACCGGCUAAUUCCG